UACGUAGGGUCCAAGCGUUGUCCGGAUUUAUUGGGCGUAAAGAGCUCGUAGGCGGUUCGGUAAGUCGGAUGUGAAAACUCAGGGCUCAACCCGGAGACGCCAUCCGAUACUGCUGUGACUUGAGUCUGGUAGGGGAACACGGAAUUCCUGGUGUAGCGGUGAAAUGCGCAGAUAUCAGGAGGAACACCGAUGGCGAAGGCAGUGUUCUGGGCCAGUACUGACGCUGAGGAGCGAAAGCGUGGGGAGCGAACAGG
rnacentral:rRNA from 1 species